AGUAACGCCAAAUGACAGGUGACAAAUCCCAUAUUCCUGUAGACAGUUGUAGAACCUUGUACCUGUGAAAAAAGAAAUAGAAUCGAGUCUAGCAAAAGAGUUUAGCUGAUUCCAAAUUAUCUGAAGGUAAGGACGUAGAUAUUUUGAAGGCAUGUGUAUUCCAAUCGUUGCCACAGUGACUCCAUGGUAAGGGAUCUUGGAAAGCAUAUACUAUAAACUGCAGAAUCCAACAACGGAAUAUAGUUGCGGAAAUCACGUAGACACCACAGGCCAGGUUUAUUGUGAUACCAACACCUAAAGCAAAACGCAGACACGCAAAGUAACGUCAACGUGAAUAAAACGUCUUUAGGAAUUCUAUAACAUUUUUUGGCGAAUGCUUAUAUUUUGUAAACGGGUUACUUAAACAAAACAAGGACACAGUCUAGCAGGAAGAUCCUCUUUCAGAGAAAGUAGUCACUCAUACAGCACAUCCAUAUGACCAAAGGGUAACGUGCAGCAACACACAAAUGUUCCAGACAGACACAAACGUAUAUAUGAAAACGGAAGACAAAAGGGUAGCGCAAUGGUGUUUGGUGUUUGUUGGUGCCGUAAGACGAUUUAAUGAAUGAGUAAUAUAUAUGUGAAUAUAAACGGUUACCAUAGGUUCUAAGUUAAAGUUUUCAGGCGUGUUGCAUAUUUUAUAAUCUCUCAUGAUUUUUUGUUUUGUUUUGUUUUGGGUUUAACGCCGUUUUUCAACAGUAUUUCAGUCAUGUAACGGCGGGCAGUUAACCUAACCAGUGUUCCUGGAUUCUGUACCAGUACAAACCUGUUCUCCGCAAGUAACUGCUAACUUCCCCACUUGAAACAGAGGUGGAGAACUAAUGAUUUCAGACACAAUGUCGUUUAUCAAAUAGCCACGGAGAACAUACGCCCUGCCCGAGGAUCGAACUCGCGACCCCACGAUCCGUAGACCGACGCUCUACCUACUGAGCUAAGCGGGCAUGAAGACUCAAUCAAACCAGGUCUGCUACUUUUCCGCUUGCAGGUGUAUAAGCUGAUAUUGAUACAAAUCCAACUGUCAAAUGCACACAAAAUAUCACUUUGACAUUUUAAUAUAACCGAUAUAAAAUCUUUCGCGAUAAGAAUGCGGUUUUAAUAAAUUCAUACUUGUCGCAUAUGAUAACAUCUAUGAAGUCGUUAAAGUUGAAAUAAGAAAAAAUAUGGAGAUAUAUUACAUUUUGAAAACAGAUUAAUUUCAGGUUGAAAACUGGAUAUAACCGACUUGCACAUUAUGGUCCCACAGUAUAUGAUACAGUAAGAUACAGUGAUUAUUUGUAAAUGUUUUGUCAAUUUUUAGGUAUUUGUAUUUUACUAUAAAUAAUAUAUAUAUAAUUUUUUA